rnacentral:rRNA from 1 species
UACGUAGGGGGCUAGCGUUGUCCGGAUUUAUUGGGCGUAAAGAGCGUGUAGGCGGCCAGGUAGGUCUGGUGUGAAAACUCGAGGCUUAACCUCGAGAUGUCAUCGGAAACCAUUUGGCUAGAGUCCGGAAGAGGAGAGUGGAAUUCCUGGUGUAGCGGUGAAAUGCGCAGAUAUCAGGAGGAACACCAAUGGCGAAAGCAGCUCUCUGGGACGGUACUGACGCUGAGACGCGAAAGCGUGGGGAGCGAACAGG